rnacentral:lncRNA from 1 species
ACGAGCCACCCACCUCGGAUCCGAAGUUCGGUCAAUUCAAAGCCCUCUAGCGAGGCCCUCGCAUGCGCAACGCAUGUGUGAGCAGGUGCUGCCUCCUUCGGAUCUGCUGCCGCGUGUCUUUUUUUUGACCGUCCGAUCAGAAGCCUCGCCCCUAUAAAUAGAAGGGUGCGAGACCUCCCGGGUAACUUUGAAAAUUUGCCACUUUUAACCCCUUUUCCCAUAUUUUCUUCAUAUUAACAUCCCGCAAAGCCCCGGUAUCGAUUGUAAAGCCCGGAAUACGCCACGAAGUGCCCGAGAAGCCCGGAAAAUUUAUUUUUUCGGUUUCGAAGCCCGACUUUUGCAAAGCCCGGUUUCUCAAUAAAACUCCCGGUUUUAUUAGAAACGAUCGUUUUAGGAAACGAAUUGCUGCCCGAUUAUCAUCAAAUCAUGUGAGUGUAUAGUCACUUUCAUUUUACACAUAGAUAUGAAGUAUUUACCUUAUAAUACGUGCUAUGUGUAAAUAUAUUAAUUGUUUAUUUGAGGUGAUUGUUGUGUUGAUGUUUUAUACAAGUUUUAAACUGUAUAAGUAUUUUUAUCUACAAAUAUGUUGGGUAGAACAUGGGUAGAUUGUGAUGUGUGAUAAAAUAAAAUUGAUGAGAGGCCUCGAUGUGUUUUGAGAUCCAGUCAUCUAGCGGAGUUUGGAUGACGACCACGGACUUUCUAGACAGUCCAGUGGGAAACAUUAGCAGGUCCGCAACCUGUAGGUGUUAAUGAACUAAGAGUGUUCAUUCGCUGUACUCCAUCCCCCUCAUGGUUGCCUUUAGGACAUGUAUGGCUGAGGAAACCCCUUAGCAGUAGUGUCCAUCCCGAUGAUAUUCUUUAGGCUAGGUCCCUUGUGACAAGUGUUUAGGGACAUAAAGUGAGGAUAACGGGAACGGGUAAUCAGGGUUAUUGUUGAUUGAUGAACUUAGUAAGUUUAUUAUUAUUGUGGGUUGAAAACCCUAUAUGCUCACCAGGCUCCCAAGCCUGACCCACUCAGCUUUUUAUGUUACAGGUAGUGGACCCCGAGCAUAGUCGGAGGACAACGAGAGAUUUUUGGAUUAUAGGCCAGUAGUUGUAAAUAACUGUUGAAAGGCUUAUAAUGUCUUGUUUAUGCUUUUGAUCUGUAUCGGAACAUGACAUCCCGAGGUUUUGAUAUAUAUAUGGAAAACAUAUACCUUCUUAAUGAAGGGUUUUGAUAAACUUUUAUCAUAUUUUGUUUAGGGACCAAUUCCGCAACAUCUUUUAAAAAGAUUUCACUGAUUUUAUUUUAAAAAGCAUAAAUUAAAUCGGUCUUUUCUGGCCGAGAAAUUGGGGGAUGUCACAGUUGGUAUCAGAGCAUUAGUUUAAGCGAACUAAGAAGUUGUAGAAUUUCUAGACUUAAACAUAGAAUGCUAAGUGAUGAUUGUGAGAUGAGUGUCUACCAUAUUUUAGACACGAGCACUAGUUUAUUUUAGGGAAGAUGCCUAAAAUGCCCUUAUNGCUAAAUGUUAUAUGUUUUCCAUAUAUGCCAUUAUUGUUCGGAUCUAUGGUCUGUUGCCGACCGGAUCUGGAAACCUUAUGUGUGUAGGAUUCUAACCGUACGAUUACGAGAUUAGAACUAACAUGUAAACGUUUCGGAGGGAUAAAGGAAUUUAAAUACCUAUCGAGGGUAAAGACCUAAAUUCGCCUUAUUCGGUAUAUAGAUUGUAAUGGCAAGAACUCGUAGUGCAGUUGCAAAUGCAAAUGGAAACAGCGAUCAAGAGCACCAACCUCAAGUAGUUGAGCAAGUACCUGUUGUAGGAUCUGCACCUGAGCCAAUGGCGAUGGCUGGGGUACAAGCAAUGAUGCAAAUGAUGUUAGAUCGCCAGAUGGAGGAGACAAGGCGAUUACUACAACAACAUAGGGAAGAGACUACGAUGCCUGUUGAACAGCCCGUAUUGAAUGAAGGGCAAUCAGUAGGAGGGAACUACAGUGGGACUCUUGGUCAAGCCAACCCACCGAUAGUUAGACAAAACAACCAGGAUGGAGGAGUUGAUGGACGCGGAUGCAAAUACAAAGAUUUCAUGGCAUCUAAACCGCCGUGUCUAUCUGGAAGUCCGACACCGGUGGAAGUCAUGAAUUGGAUCUCCGAAAUGGAGACGAUGUUUGAAAGUUGCGAGUGCAGCAACAAACAAAAGACCGCACUUGCAAUUCCUCUGUUAAAGUCUGGUGUGUUGAGCUGGUGGAAGUUACUAGCUGAUUCGAUGCCCAAGGGUGAAGCUAGUAAGAUGUCUUGGGAAGAAUUUGUGGUACAACUGAAAUUGCAGUACUGCUCUGAGCAGGAUCUUCUGGAAAUCAACAAUGAGUUUCAGAAUUUAAAGAAAGGAAAGAUGAGCGUUACUGAAUACGCUGCUAGUUUUAUGGAAAAGAUGAAGCUAGUUCCUCAUCUAGUUCCAACUGAACUCUCUAAGGUCAACAAGUUUGCCCUCGGAUUACCAGCGGACUUUGGUCCGAUGGUUAAGCAAGCAACCACUUUGAAAGCCGCCAUCUGGGCUGCUAAGAAUGUCGAGGUUCAGAUCAAGGAGAAGGGUCUGGAGAGGGCAGAAGUUGGUGAAAAGAGAAAAUUUGAAGGAACUUCGGGUUCCAACAAGAAAAGCAAAUUUUCUAAGUCCAAGAAGUUUGGAGGAGGAGGAGGUGAAGUGAAAUGGUGUGAGAAGUGCAAGAGAAAGCACUCUGGGAGAUGUAGUGAGGAGGUGACUUGCUUCAAAUGUGGAAAGACUGGGCAUUAUGCCAACGUGUGUCCGUCCGACAAGAGGGUAUGUUUUGAGUGCCAUGAAGUAGGGCAUGUUCUUAAAGACUGUCCAAAGAGGAAGGAUGCCGCAAAGCCCAAUCUACCACCAAAGCCGAAGGCGAGAGCCUUUCAGAUGACACUUGAAGCUGCAAAAGAAGAAGUCGAUGUCGCUUCAGGUACCUUUCUCGUAAACGAAUUGCCUGCCCAAAUUUUGUUUGAUUCUGGAGCCAAUUACUCCUUUAUAUCGCAUGAAUUUGGUAGAAAGCUAGCUUUGCCUGUAGAUAGGCUAGUUAANGACAAUACUUGGGACGAGUAUGAGUAGGUGCGAAUGGUAGUAGAGGCCUAUACUACCGGAAGCACAAGACUCGUACUUGGAUCAGGGAAAGUCACAAGGUUACCAAGGAGCUAUUAUUUGAUUUCGUCUUGUUCUAGUAUGUUGUUACCAUCGUUUCGCUAAUGAGUAAGAAGAUGAUUGUUAUUCUGACCUUAGAGCUCAUAUUGAAUCGAGUCCGACUAAGAUGAGUAUGUUACGUGGUUCAGAGAGACAAGUUCGAUGUAGCAUUUGACUUAAGCCAGAAGAUUGAAGUAAAAGAUGAUUAAAGCGAUCAACAGAAGUAUCGCACUCAUUGUUAAAGAAGUUGAUAUUUAGGAAUAAUACAUGUUGAACUGUGAUUGUAUCACAUUAGAACAUGAAGGAAGGUGUAGUUUGUUCUGAAAAUUGUCCCAAGGAGAUCUGAGUCUAAGUAGUGCAGUAUAUAAUAAGAGAUCAUUAGAACAUGACCCAUCGGUCUGUUACAAUAAAUGAAGGAAAGUACUUAUUCCAUGAAGAAGAAGGAGUCCUCAAUAAGGAAUUAUUUGUAACUCGAAGGUUGCGAUUGAAGGUCCUAUAAAGAUCUGAAGCUUUUUAGGAUUAGCUGAAUAUUAUUACUGAAUUAUCCAAGGCUUUUCUUCGAUCGUGAUUCCAUUGACAGCUUUGACCCACAAAGGAGCUGUCUAUACUUAGAAUGAGAAGCAUAGGAAGCUUUGAGAAGUUAAAGAAGAAAUUGUGUGAAGCACCGAUUCUUUCAUUACCUAAAGGAUUUGAUGACUUCACAGUUUAUAGUGAUGCCUCUGGAGUUGGGUUAGGAUGUGUUCUGACCCAAAGGGAUAAGGUGAUAGCGUAUUCAUCGAGGCAAUUGAAAGAGCAUGAAAAGAACUACCCUACUCACGAUUUGGAGUUGGCAGUGGUAGUAUUCGCCCUAAAGAUAUGGAGGCAUUAUCUUUAUGGCACAAAGUGUAAAAUUUUCACUGAUCAUAAGAGUCUCCAAUAUCUCUUUGAUCAGAAGGAAUUUAACAUCAGGCAACGAUGUUGGCUAGUAUUACUCAAAGACUACGACUGUGAGAUACAUUACCACCCUGGUAAAGCAAAUGUUGUUGCUGAUAUUCUCAGUCGGAAGGUAAGUCUUGAAAAGAAAAGGCCAAGAGCGUUGAGAAUUGAAGUUGUCUCGACAAUUUUGGAAAGUAUAAAGAAAGCUCAAGAGGAAGCUUUGGAGAAAAAUGACCGAAAGGAAGAACGUUUGGGCAAAAUGUUACUGUUCGGUACAAACAACCAAUAGUUGAAGGUAUUCCAAGAUAGGAUUUGGGUACCUAAGACGGGCGGAGUAAGAGAUCUUCUGAUGGAAGAAGCUCACAAGACCAUGUACUCGAUUCAUCCCAGCAGUACAAAAAUGUAUAGGGAUCUAAAACCCUAUUAUUGGUGGCCGACGAUGAAGCUCGAUGUUGCUAAGUAUGUGGCCGAGUGUGUAACUUGUGCUAGGGUUAAGGCACAACAUCAGAAACCAUAUGGGAGUUUAGAACCUUUACCUGUACCCAUGGGUAAAUGGGAAGAUAUCACUAUGGAUUUUGUGACUAAACUGCCCAGAACAAGGAACGGUCACGACAUGAUUUGGGUGGUCGUUGAUCGCUUCACUAAGAGUGCGCAUUUCAUAGCAGCCAAAGAGAAAUGGUCUAUGGAUAAACUUGCGAAUUCUUACGUGAAGGAAAUUGUGAGGCUUCACGGUGUUCCGUUAACGAUUGUGUCCGAUCGUGAUAGCCGUUUUACCUCAAGGUUUUGGAGGAGUCUACAAGAGGAAUUGGGUACCAAGUUGUGUUUGAGUACAGCUUACCAUCCGCAAACCGAUGGUCAGAGCGAGCGAACGAUUCAAACAUUGGAGGAUAUGCUGAGAGCAUGUACCCUAGAAUUCCAAGGUAACUGGGAUGAACACUUACCUUUAGUAGAAUUCUCCUAUAAUAAUAGUUUCCACUCAAGCAUUAAGAUGGCACCUUAUCACGCUUUGUAUGGGGAGAAGUGUCGAACGCCAUCAUGUUGGCUGGAAGCUGGGGAAAAGCAGUUUAUGGGACCUGAAAUAGUCCAUGAGACUGCUGAAAAGUUGAAAGUGAUAAGGGAAAGGAUGUUAGCUGCUCAAGAUCGACAAAAGAGUUAUGCUGACAAGAAAAGACAACCGAUAUCCUUCGAUGUUGGAGAUUCGGUUUUACUUAAAGUCUCGCCGUGGAAGGGACUUAUAAGAUUUGGUAAGAGAGGGAAGUUGAGUCCAAGGUUUAUUGGACCAUUUAAAGUUCUUCAGAGGAUCGGGAAUCAAGCUUACAAGCUAGAGUUACCGGAAGAACUAGAGGGUAUUCAUAACACCUUUCAUGUGUGUUAUUUGAGAAAGUUCACAGGAGAUGUGCCCGACAUAAUUCCGAUUUCUGAGUUAAGGUUGGAUGAAAACAAGAGGUUGAUCGAAGAACCUGAGGCAAUCGUUGACCGUAAGACUAUGAAGUUACGACGCAAGAUGGUCGAUUUAGUGCUUGUGCGCUGGAAACAUACGAAUGGACCAAAUCUCACUUGGGAAACGGAGAGUGACAUGAUGAGUCGCUACCCGCAGUUGUUUGGUGAUAUGUGAUUCCGGGGACGGAAUCAUCCUAAGGGGGAGAGAAUUGUAACACUCGUGUUUCUAGCCUAGGCAUUUAUAUUGAGUUGAUAGUCUAGGUUAACCUUUGUAACUCAUUUUGAAGAAAUGAAAAGGAGUUAUGUGAAUAUUAUGUGAAUUAUGUGUUUUAUGCUUAAUUAUUAGGGCUUAAUUAAUUAAGAAUAAAAAUAAGCGUCAAAAUUAAAGUGUGAGAUAAGCCCGAUAUCUUUACAUAAAGUUGUAGUGGUCGAAACAAGGAUUUCGGGGAUAUAAAGAAUGCUAAAAUCCGAGUUAUAACAAAGAAGUUAUGACCUGUCGAAGUUUCGCGACAAAACCUGCACGGUGCUGAAUGUCGUAAAAAGUGAGUUUUUGAUAAACUACUUUUUAGCCUUAGUAAUCUAAACGAAAGUCGUGGUAUUCGUUAAACCGAGAAGUUCGAUAAAAAGAACGCCCAAAUCUGACUUCGUAUGAGAAAGUUAUGAUUUUUCGAAGUUUCAGCGUAGUAGUAGACAGCUAAAAACUCGAAUUUUAGAUCGAGCGAUUUUUAGCCGACACAACCUAAAUGAGAAUUGAAGGUCUCGUCAUUAGGAGCACAACGGUAAAAAGUCUGACGAAAACGGACGUCGGAUGAAGAAGUUAUGAAUUUUUAACGGAUUUCCUGUCCCGGUCUGUUAAAAAUAAUAAUAUAAAAUUUAAAUUCAAAAUUAGCCAAUGAAGUCUAAAUGGAAGUUGUAGAGUGUAACUUUAGCUACGCGUGCAUAUAAAGAACGUCAAAAACGGAGCUCGUAUACGAAAGUUAUGAAUUUUAGAAGAUUUUGGAACAAAAUUCGAGAAAUUUCGCAUAGAUAAGCUUCACCUGGAAAUGCCACGUCACCCUCGCCUCGCAUGCGCCACGUGUCCUGCUGAGUCACCCGAGCUGCUGAGUCAUCCGAGCAGCUGGCAGUCGCGUGUCACUUCCGGAUUCGACCGAAGUCUCGGCCCUCGCACAUCCGACGCGUGCAUAGUGAUUCAUCGCAUCUGAAGCCUUCGCAUGAGCCACGAGCCACCCACCUCGGAUCUGAAGUUCCGUCCAAUCAAAGCCCUCCAGCGAGGCCCUCGCAUGUGCAACGCAUGUGCGAGAAGGUGCUGCCUCCUUCGGAUCUGCUGCCGCGUGUCUUUUUUUUUAGGAAACGCAUUGCUGCCCGAUUAUCAUUAAAUCAUGUGAGUGUAUAGUCACUUUCAUUUUACACAUAGAUAUGAAGUAUUUACCUUAUAAUACGUGCUAUGUGUAAAU